rnacentral:rRNA from 1 species
UACGGAGGGUGCAAGCGUUAUCCGGAUUCACUGGGUUUAAAGGGUGCGUAGGUGGGCAGGUAAGUCAGUGGUGAAAUCUCCGGGCUUAACCCGGAAACUGCCAUUGAUACUAUCAGUCUUGAAUACCGUGGAGGUAAGCGGAAUAUGUCAUGUAGCGGUGGAAAUGCUUAGAUAUGACAUAGAACACCAAUUGCGAAGGCAGCUUACUACCCGAAUAUUGACACUGAGGCACGAAAGCGUGGGGAUCAAACAGG